UAGAACACCGUUCACCUUCGUUGAUUUCAAUCUCUAACAGAUCCUGUGGAAGCUUUUUGGUUUUGGUGUUUGAAUUUCAUGUUUUGAUGUUUUUCAGUCACCAAAAUUAAUGAGGAAUGGAUUGUAUGUUUUUGAAGGGUGCAAGUGUUUUCUCACUAUGGACAAUCCUCGCUUUUCAUGAAACGACGUAGAUAUUUAUAUAUGUGACGUUUGGGUAGUUUGGACUUGCUAAAACUCUUGAAAAAUGCAAAUUAAGUUUUUCCUGGUAACACUGUCACUCGAACGAUCGUCCAGCGAAAAUCUAACGAUGGCCUUUCGCUGGAGCCAGGGCUUAGCGAGAAGCUAGCAAUGUCGAUUUUGUUUGUGCUGCUCGAGCAGUGUGUUGGAGAGAAGCAAGCAAAAAUGCAGCGGUCCUUCUUUCCUUAUCUCGAAGUUAAACCCUAACUUGCCAACUAUUUUUAUACAAAAUUGCACAUGACUCCUCAAAUUUUACACUGUUUCAAUUUGAUCUUUUUUGUUCACAAAAUUGCCAAUUGCAAUUAAACCCAACAUUCUAGAAUAUUGAAAUUGUAAUAUCA
rnacentral:lncRNA from 1 species